CAACGGGUGGGCGUCCGGCGGAAACCAGCUAGCUUGGGACCGAGCGACCUGAGGGGUACGUCCGGGGUAGGAGUGAAAUCCCGUAAUCCUGGACGGACCGCCGGUGGCGAAAGCGCCUCUGGAGGACGGACCCGACGGUGAGGGACGAAAGCUAGGGUCACGAACCGGAUUAGAUACCCGGGUAGUCCUAGCUGUAAACGAUGAUCGCUAGGUGUGGCGAUGGCUACGAGCCAUCGCUGUGCCGUAGGGAAGCCGAGAAGCGAUCCGCCUGGGAAGUACGUCCGCAAGGAUGAAACUUAAAGGAAUUGGCGGGGGAGCACUACAACCGGAGGAGCCUGCGGUUUAAUUGGACUCAACGCCGGACAUCUCACCAGCAUCGACAAUGUGCAGUGAAGGUCAGUGUGAUGAGCUUACUGGAGCCAUUGAGAGGAGGUGCAUGGCCGCCGUCAGCUCGUACCGUGAGGCGUCCUGUUAAGUCAGGCAACGAGCGAGACCCGCACUCCUAAUUGCCAGCAACACCCUUGUGGUGGUUGGGUACAUUAGGAGGACUGCCGCUGCCAAAGCGGAGGAAGGAACGGGCAACGGUAGGUCAGUAUGCCCCGAAUGUGCUGGGCUACACGCGGGCUACAAUGGUCGAGACAAUGGGAUGCCACCCCGAAAGGGGGCGCUAAUCUCCUAAACUCGAUCGUAGUUCGGAUUGAGGAUGAAACUCGUCCUCAU
rnacentral:rRNA from 1 species